AGAGUUUGAUCCUGGCUCAGAACGAACGCUGGCGGCGUGGAUUAGGCAUGCAAGUCGAACGUGAAGCACUCCGAUGAUUCUUCGGAUGAAAUGAAGUGUGGAAAGUGGCAUAAGGGUGAGUAAUACGUGGGUAAUGUACCUUCACGCUGGGGAUAACUUCGCGAAAGUGAAGCUAAUACCGAAUGCGAUUGAAGUAACUUCGGUUAUUUCAAUUAAAGGUGGGGACCUUCGGGCCUGCCGUGUGAAGAUCAGCCCGCGCCCUAUUAGCUUGUUGGUGAGGUAACGGCUCACCAAGGCGACGAUGGGUAGCCGACCUGAGAGGGUGACCGGCCACACUGGGACUGAGACACUGCCCAGACUCCUACGGGAGGCUGCAGUCGAGAAUCGUUCGCAAUAGGCGAAAGCCUGACGACGCAAUGCCGCGUGUAUGAAGAAGGCCUUCGGGUUGUAAAAUACUUUGAGCAGGGAAGAAAGCUUGUCCGUUAAUAGCGGAUCAAGUCUGACGGUACCUGCAGAACAAGCCCCGGCUAAAUUCGUGCCAGCAGCCGCGGUAAUACGAAUGGGGCAAGCGUUGUUCGGAUUAACUGGGCGUAAAGGGGGUCUAGGUUGUUUACUAAGUUUCCUGUGAAAACCCGGAGCUCAACUCCGUGGAUUGCAGGGAAAACUAUUAAACUAGAGUGUGCGAGAUGCGUGCGGAAUACUGGGUGUAGCGGUGAAAUGCGUAGAUAUCCAGUAGAACACCAGCGGCGAAAGCGGCACGCAUGCGCAUUACUGACACUCAAGCCCGAAAGCGUGGGGAGCGAACAGGAUUAGAUACCCUGGUAGUCCACGCUGUAAACGAUGUGCACUAGGUGUUGGGCCUUAAGGCUCAGUGCCGUAGCUAACGCGUUAAGUGCACCGCCUGGGGAGUAUGCCCGCAAGGGUGAAACUCAAAGGAAUUGACGGGGGCCCGCACAAGCGGUGGAGCAUGUGGUUUAAUUCGAUGAUACGCGAGAAACCUUACCAGGGCUUGAC
rnacentral:rRNA from 1 species